rnacentral:rRNA from 1 species
UGCCAGCCGCCGCGGUAAUACGGAGGGUACAAACGUUGUUCGGAAUCACUGGGCAUAAAGAGCACGUAGGCGGCUUACUCAGUCGGGUGUGAAAGCCCUCGGCUCAACCGAGGAAUUGCAUCCGAUACUGGUAAGCUUGAGGAUGGCAGGGGUGAGUGGAACUCCAGGUGGAACGGUGAAAUGUGUAGAUAUCUGGAGGAACACCGGUGGCGAAAGCGGCUCACUGGGCCAUCUCUGACGCUGAGGUGCGAAAGCUAGGGUAGCAAACGGGAUUAGAUA